UACGAAGGGGGCUAGCGUUGCUCGGAAUCACUGGGCGUAAAGGGCGCGUAGGCGGCCUUGUAAGUUGGGGGUGAAAGCCCGUGGCUCAACCACGGAAUUGCCUUCGAUACUGCUUGGCUUGAGACCGGAAGAGGGUCGUGGAAUUCCCAGUGUAGAGGUGAAAUUCGUAGAUAUUGGGAAGAACACCGGUGGCGAAGGCGGCGACCUGGUCCUUGACUGACGCUGAGGCGCGAAAGCGUGGGGAGCAAACAGG
rnacentral:rRNA from 1 species